UAUAAUAAUAAUAUUUUGCAUCUAAAUAUCAUAUUUCAUUUCUAGUUACGCACUUCUAUUCCUGAAUAUAGAACUCUGUUGUUGUUGGAUUUCUUCACCUUAGAAAGAAACGCUAAGACAGCAAUGGUGGUAUUACGGAUUAGUCUUUUGUCGAUGUUGAGUAAACUCAAAAUAUAGCCCAACAAGAUUAAGGAACCCUGUAGUUUUUGUUGUUUUUUUUUUUUUGUUUUGAAACCUUUAAUUCUGAGGAAUCUUAAAGACAAGCCAUGGAUCUUCGAUACAAUUAUUAAUAAGAAAGUGGAGAAAACAUGAUAAAAUCUUGAAAAACACAAAAAAAAAAAUUAAUAAAAGUUAAGAAUAACUCAGUGAACGAAAAUAAACAGUACAGUAUCGUAGUGUAUUGCUCAUGUCUGAAACAGACAUGAUUACUAAACGGAACGAUAAGUUCUAUUGAACACCUUUCUUGAAUGGUCGAAGUGGGCAGGCGAUGAGUGUUGCUUUGAACAAGUUUUGAUUGUAUAUGUGGAGGCAUCUGCAUUUGGAAAUUUUUACUGAUCCAAGAAAAGCAAAUUUUCACAUAUUUUUCUGGAAUAUGGCAAUGAUUCAAUGUAUUGAUCGUUAGAUCAAAGACAAAUUCUAUGCUGUUCAUCACAAUGCGGAAAUGUGUUUGUGCAUAUACACCAAAUGUCGGCAGUAACAACAACAACAACAACAACAACAACAACACUAACAACAAGGAUGACAAUAAAGUCAAGUUAAUAAAAUAAGCCCAUGCAGUGCAUAAAACAAUUUGCAACGGAAAUUGCAAUAAUUAACUUUGGUACCUGCCUGACGCAGUUGAAGUUGCUGGGUUGAAGGAUAUUUUUUAUUACAAAUUUGUGUUCUUGUUUUAUUUUAUGUUUUAUGUUUUAUGUUUUAUGUUUAUGUCGACUGCAGACUCAGACUUGGUGAAAUUUUUUUUACAAUUUCCGGAUGUACAUGUGAGUACCACGUACUUGUGGCCACGUAGCUACGGUUUGCGUGUCAGGAGCGUUUGUGCGAGUUUGGGUAUGCGUAACGGAAACAGGAAGUGGCAUCGGUAAUGCAAAAUUCAGCUGAGGCUUAAUUAUGCGGCGGAUUCAAAUAUGGAGUAAAUCACUUUUGCUUCGCUCCAUGGAAACUUAUUAGUUUAGCAUGUGCAUGAGUUGAGCAAUUUCCUGCUGCAUGUGUCUAUAAUAUUCUGGAUUCAAAGUGAUAUGAAUGACGCGGAAUCUCGUUACACAACAACAACAUCUGAAACUUUUAGAUGAGGUCCACUAUCGGUAUGCGGAAAAUGCUUUUAAGGACAAAUUUCAUAAAACCCUAAUGUCGGUAUACCUUCCAACUGGAGGUUGUAAGAGAAUCAAAGAGAAUAGGUCCUACUUAAUGUCCAGCACUAUUGCAUUAACAGUAGCAUAUGACAUAUUGUUGGUCGCAAGGGGCUUAAAUAUGGAAUUCGGCAUAGAGUGGUGCACCAAAAAGUCUAUUCUUUUAAAAACCACUUCGAUGGAACCUUUCAAUAAGCAUUGUAUUAACGUUUAUAAAAUACUAAACUUUAACAAAACAUGAGGUGGCAUGAACACUUCAUUUAGUGAAGUAAUUAAGUAAUAACAGUUGCAAAUGAGCAUUUAAGGGCAAAGUCCUUUUGGCACUAUACACCUUAAGGCCUUAUUGAAAAUGAUGUGAACACUUUUAGCAACGAAUGUAAUGUAGCGGAGCCAAAUGACAUGGCCUUAGUCGCUGGCGAGUUAAAUGUGAAAUUCACUUUACAUGGUCACCAUUAAAAAUAUGUAGUUAUGGACUUGUGACUCUAACCAAUGAAGAGGUGUCAUUAUCGAUAUUCUGUUCUCGUAUAUUAUAGAAUAUAUAUUUCAAUAUUCUUCAAUUCUUGAUGUACACACAAUUAGAAAAGUAAGCUGGGACCGUGUCAAUGAGCUGGUAAAGAUCAAAGUACAUCAAUAACUCAAACAAUUGUUGGAUGGUUGCCAAACACCGGGAGUGGAGAAUGUUAUCAUGAAGAUUGCAGAGUAUUGGUUCAGCUCAAGAACAUAACAUGUAAGAAACUUUUACAAUUUGAGGUAGUACUGAAGAAGCUACAGUACGAAAAGUAUUUUCGGAUGACCAGAGGGCAUAUGUAAUGAAAACUAGACAAAUGUAUGAAUGAUAGAAGAUGAUAGAAAAAGAGUGCAAGGAAUUCUUAUAGAGAAAUCAAUAAAUUAUCACCAUUUCAACCAUCCAUUCAUGAAUAAGAAAAAUUCAUAAGCACUUGAAGACAGUACAGACAAUUAUAAUAUUGGAGAAAUCCUUUCUGUAUUAUUUCUUAUAAUGUUAGUAAAUUACAUUAAGAAUAAAUGCAAUGUAAACGACCAGAUUUGUGGAUAGAAAACAAUUGGAUUAUUUACUAUGGUAAUGCGGACAAGUACUGCUUUCGCAAGGAAUAGCUUUGCUUGCUUAUAUAUCAUUGAAAUGUGGCGUAUUUAAGUCCUGAUUAUUUCUGAUCGCAAUUUAAAUAAAUUCCUUUAGUAUAAAGAAAA